AUGCGCCUUUUUUGGGGGCGAAACAGCUGUUUUGGGGCAAAAGGCGGCUGGUUUGGGCAAAAGGUGUUGUUUUGGGGCGAAAAGCAGCCAUUUGGGGACAAAAUGCGCCUUUUUGGGGGCGAAAGGCACCCGCUUUGGGGCGAAAGGUGCCUUUUUUGGGGCAAAACACGCCUGUUUUGGGGUAAAAGGCGUCUGCGUCCGUUGAAAGAUGCCCCUUUUGAGGCAGAAGGCGCCCGUGUUGGGGCGAAAGGUGCUUGUUUUGGGGCAAAAGACGCGUGUUUCGGGAGAAGUCGCUCGUUUUGGGGUGAAAGGUGCCUGUUCUGGUGCAAAAGGUGCCCGUUUUGGGGCAGAAGGUGUUUGUUUUGGUGCAAAACACGCAAGUUUUGGGGCAGAACGCGCCCGUUUUGGGGAAAACGCACGUGUUUCGGAGCAGAAAGGGCCCCUUUUGGGGCAAAAUUUGCUUGUUUUGGGGCUGGAAGCGGCUGUUUCGGGUCAAAACACGCCUGUUUCGGGGCAGAAGGCGCCUGUUUUGGGGCAAAAUCCGCCUGUUUCGGGGCAGGAGGCGUCCUUUUGAGUUCGCAUGCACCUGCUUGGGGGCCAAACGCACCCGUUUGGGGCAGGAGGCUCCUGCUUUGGGUCAAAAUGCUGCAGUUUUGGGGCAGAAGGCGCCCGUUUCGGGUCAAAACGCGCUUGUUUUGGGGCAGAAAGCGUCUGUUUUGGGGCAAAACCUGCGUGUUUGGGUCUGAAGGCUCCUGUUUGAGGGCAGAAGGGGUUGGUUUUGGGUCCAAAUGUGCCUGUUUCGGGUCCGAGCGUUCCCGUUUAGGGUCAGAAGUCUCCUGUUUCAGGGCAAAAGCCGCCUCUUUUGGGUCCAAAGGCUCCCGUUCUGGGUUAGAGCACGCCCGGUUAGGGGCAGAAACCACCUGUUUCGGGUCUGAAAGCUCCCGUUUGGGGUCAAAACGCGCUUCUUUUGGGGCAGAAAGCGUCUGUUUCGGGGCAGAACGUGCGUGUUUGGGGGGGAAAGGCGCCGAUUUGGGAUCAGAAGGUGUUGGUUUGGGGUCCGAAGGCUCCCGUUUCGGGUCCAAACACUCUGGUUUUGGGUCUGAAUGUUCCCGUUUUGGGUCUGAAUGUUACAGUUUCGGUUCUGAACCCUCCCGCUUUGGGUCCGAACAGUCCCGUUCUGGGUCUGAAUACUCUUGUUUUGGGUCCGAACCCUCCUGUUUUGGGUCCGAACCCUCCUGUUUUGGGUCUGAACCCUCCCGUUUCGGGUCUAAACAGUCUUGUUUCGGGUCCAACCCCUCCCAUUCCAUUUCCAACCCCUCCCAUUCCCCCCCACGCCCCCUAUAA
rnacentral:lncRNA from 1 species